CCCCUCUCAGGCCCGCACUUGGAGAGUUUCCUGUAUUCUACCAGUCUCGGCUAUGGGAAGGAGAGUCAAGCAGAGGUAUACCCAUUCCAUUCCUAGCUUGGCCAGUGGCUAGCGAGUGGAAGACGAUCUGCUACAAGU